rnacentral:rRNA from 1 species
UGGGGAAUAUUGGACAAUGGGCGAAAGCCUGAUCCAGCCAUGCCGCGUGUGUGAAGAAGGCCUUUUGGUUGUAAAGCACUUUAAGCGAGGAGGAGGCUACUUGGAUUAAUACUCUAGGAUAGUGGACGUUACUCGCAGAAUAAGCACCGGCUAACUCUGUGCCAGCAGCCGCGGUAAUACAGAGGGUGCGAGCGUUAAUCGGAUUUACUGGGCGUAAAGCGUGCGUAGGCGGCUUCUUAAGUCGGAUGUGAAAUCCCUGAGCUUAACUUAGGAAUUGCAUUCGAUACUGGGAAGCUAGAGUAUGGGAGAGGAUGGUAGAAUUCCAGGUGUAGCGGUGAAAUGCGUAGAGAUCUGGAGGAAUACCGAUGGCGAAGGCAGCCAUCUGGCCUAAUACUGACGCUGAGGUACGAAAGCA